ensembl:lncRNA
CCUCCUGUCCCUGCGGUGAGGUGGCGUCACUGAGCCGGUCAGCAUGGCCACCAAGUCGUGCAUGUGGAAGUGUCCCGUCCAGGGCCUGGCACACCCUGGACCCUCGCUCCCCGUUCCCUUCCUCCUGGCUUCACGGAGGAGGGAGGUGAAGCCCCACGUGGCCCCCAGAGGAGAGGAGCGGACAGAGACCAGCCGAGAUCGUCAAAGACGCUGAAGAGACAAACAGACACACUGACUUUGAAGGCAACAGGGAAAAAGAAGAUGAAAAGCUUUAUGAAGAUAAUGAAAGGAAGGUCUGUGGGGCUUCCCAGGCGGCACUAGUGAGAAAGAACCUGCCUGCCAAGCAGAAGAUGUAAGAGACGUAGGCUCAACCCCUGGCUCGGGAACCCCCGGAGAAGGAAACCACAGCCCACUUCAGUGCUCCUGGCUGGAGCGUCCCAUGGACAGAGGAGCCUGGUGGGCUACAGUUCUGCAGUGCAGACUCGGACACAACUGCAGCGACUUCGCACGUGCACGCAGCGGGCCUUACGUGCGGCGCAAGGGGUCUCCACUCCGUCACUCGGCAUCUUGGCCGUGGGGCUGGGUUCUCAGCUGCGGCGCCUGGGCUCUGGGGCGCGAAAGCUAGUGGCCGUAGCGUGCGGACUCCUGCGUGUGGGGUCUUAGUUCCUUGACCAGAGAGUGAACCCGCGUCCCUGAAUUGGAAGGUGGAUUCUUAACCACCAGACAACCAGGGAAGUACUUAGAACUGUAUUUUUAGUGCAAGGUUUCUCUUCUUGCUUGCUAUAUAUGAGAAUGUGUAAUUAAAAAUAAAGAAUCAGAUUUAAAAAGUAACAAAAA